rnacentral:lncRNA from 1 species
CACUAGGGGGUGGCCGGUUUUGGAAGAGGAUAUGAGUGAUGUGUGUGUUGAUUUGUGAGUUUUGACAUAAAGCAUGCAAGUGCACAAGUGGUUUGUGUGAAAGAGAAUUAAUCCUUUCACACCCACCAUUAUUUCUAUUGCCAUUUAAACAAAUAUCUAAAACAUUUAAACAUUUGAAAAAACAUAAAACAUAAACUUUAUGUAAUAAAUCAAAACUUUGAAUCAAAACACAAACCUUUUUGUUCUUGGCAAAAAUGUCAAGAACAAUGAAGAACAUUCAUGAAAAACCCAAAAAUUUUCCAUGAACUUUUUCCACCCAAAAACAUUCCAAAACCAUUUAAACUUAAGGGAAAUAACAUCUAACCAAACUAGGGUACAUAGGGGUUCCAAAAGUCACUUGAAAACACUUUUAACAAGUCAAACAAGAACCCAAAAAUCCACCCUUUGGAUUUGGCCGAAUUUUCCCAAAGUCAUGGCACCAAAUUUUAGCUCCAAUAUUCAUGCUCAUAAGAACUACAUCUACAACAUUUGAGAUGGCAAAUUUUCCAACAAAAUUUACAUUCAAAGAAACAAGAAUAAAGCUUGUAACAAUUACAACUUUUAAAUCGCAAACUAUGAACCACAAAACCCAAAAGGAUUCACCAACUACUAGACCUAGGCUCUGAUACCACUUGA